GACGAACGCUGGCGGCGUGCUUAACACAUGCAAGUCGAACGGAAAGGCCCUGCUUUUGUUGGGUGCUCGAGUGGCGAACGGGUGAGUAACACGUGAGUAACCUGCCCUUGACUUUGGGAUAACUUCAGGAAACUGGGGCUAAUACCGGAUAGGAGCUCCUGCUGCAUGGUGGGGGUUGGAAAGUUUCGGCGGUUGGGGAUGGACUCGCGGCUUAUCAGCUUGUUGGUGGGGUAGUGGCUUACCAAGGCUUUGACGGGUAGCCGGCCUGAGAGGGUGACCGGCCACAUUGGGACUGCGAUACGGCCCAGAGUCCUACGGGCGGCAGCAGUGGGGAAUAUUGCACAAUGGGCGGAAGCCUGAUGCAGCAACGCCGCGUGCGGGAUGACGGCCUUCGGGUUGUAAACCGCUUUCGCCUGUGACGAAGCGUGAGUGACGGUAAUGGGUAAAGAAGCACCGGCUAACUACGUG
rnacentral:rRNA from 1 species